AUCCCUCGCUGCUAAGCUAUCCCUCACUGCUAAGCUAUCCCUCACUGCUAAGCUAUCCCUCACUGCUAAGCUAUCCCUCACUGCUAAGCUAUCCCUCGCUGCUAAUCUAUAUAGAGUAAAUCAUUGUUCUGUUUGAUUCCAUUUUACAAAAUGAGAUCAAAUGAAAACUAUAUGAGAUCAGAACUAAGAUAUUUGAGAAUGAAACUGAGAAAAAAUUUGAUUUUGAUUUCAUACAUAAUCACACAGUCAGUCUAUCAUUUAGUACUGAAAGUUUUUGAUAUUUCAGAAAUAUAAUUUUAAACUG
rnacentral:sRNA from 1 species